rnacentral:rRNA from 1 species
AGUGAACGCUGGCGGUAGGCCUAACACAUGCAAGUCGAACGGCAGCACAGUAAGAGCUUGCUCUUACGGGUGGCGAGUGGCGGACGGGUGAGGAAUACAUCGGAAUCUACUUUUUCGUGGGGUAUAACGUAGGGAAACUUACGCUAAUACCUCAUACGACCUACGGGUGAAAGCAGGGGAUCUUCGGACCUUGCGCGAUUGAAUGAGCCGAUGUCGGAUUAGCUAGUUGGCGGGGUAAAGGCCCACCAAGGCGACGAUCCGUAGCUGGUCUGAGAGGAUGAUCAGCCACACUGGAACUGAGACACGGUCCAGACUCCUACGGGAGGCGGCAGUGGGGAAUAUUGGACAAUGGGCGCAAGCCUGAUCCAGCCAUACCGCGUGGGUGAAGAAGGUCUUCGGGUUGUAAAGCCCUUUUGUUGGGAAAGAAAAGCAGCAGGUUAAUACCCCGCUGUUCUGACGGUACCCAAAGAAUAAGCACCGGCUAACUUCGUG